AGGAAAGGAAGUUGGUGUGUAUG
rnacentral:piRNA from 1 species